UUUUACGGCCAUACCACCCUGGGCACGCCCGAUCUCAUCUGAUCUUGGCAGCUGCGUAGGGUCGGGCUGGUUAGUGCGUGAGCAGGAGGAUGGCACAUACUGGAGCUGGAGUGA
rnacentral:rRNA from 1 species